AUGGACCAAGAUGAAGCUAAAAGCAAAGAGAAUCACCCUUCCUCUUCACGGGACUCCAAUCCAUGACCCAUCUGCCUUGGUCCCUUCCUUCAAGAAUCCUAUCUUGAUUCCUGUUUCCAUAAAUUUUGUUAUAGUUGCAUUUUGAAUUGGACUAAAGUAGUUGCUGGUAAGCAUUCUCAUGCACCUUCUUCUGUAAAAUGUCCUUUGUGCAAGACAGAAAACCGUUUAAUAAUUUAUGGAUACGAUGGAAGUUCAUUCCAAAGGCAAUAUAUAAUUAACAGUUUUGAGCUUAUUUCUUUCUUUUCAAAAGCUCACAAGUAUAGAUUAAAAUGCUAUUAUGCUGAACCAGGUAUAUUGAGCAAUAUAGUUAACGUAUUGCGAUAUUGGAAGUCCUGUAAGUAUCUUCAACCAAAUCGGUGGCUGCAAAGUUGGUUGAGAAGAGAAAUUCAGGCUCUUUUGCAGGAAGAGGAUGUUGAAAUUAUUAUACACCAUAUACUUGGUGUGGUUGAUUCAUUCUUGAGAAGGGGUGAUCAAUCUCAUCAAAUGAGAACACCUGAAACAAAACAAAGAGAGUUCAAGAAUCUAGUCUCUAAUGCAGCAAGGCCCUUUCUAGCAGCAAGAACCAAACGAUUCGUUAAUGAGUUGGAAUUGUUUCUUGCUUUAGGUUUCCACAUUGAAGCCUAUGAUGAAGCAUACAUGUAGCAGUUGGGUUGGAACACUCCUAGAUUGACUGGUGAGGCUGCAGAUGUAGAACAUAGUGAACACACACCAAUAGUCCCAUACUUGUAUAUUUUUUACGACGACUCUAAUGAAACUGAUUAA